ACGCUCGACACCUACGGGAGGCAGCAGUGGGGAAUAUUGCACAAUGGGGGAAACCCUGAUGCAGCGACGCCGCGUGGAGGAAGAAGGUCUUCGGAUUGUAAACUCCUGUUGUUGGGGAAAAAGAGGAUGGUACCCAACAAGGAAGUGACGGCUAACUACGUGCCAGCAGCCGCGGUAAUCUGAGCGGGCUGGCAAGGC
rnacentral:rRNA from 1 species